rnacentral:lncRNA from 1 species
CAGAUCACCCUUACCACUGCCCAUGGCUUCCCCCUCCCACCUUUGCUACAUGAGUCGGUUUUAGCAGAACAGCAGGAUGACCCUGUCACAAGUCAGAGCUGUCGGGGCUGCUGUCCAAACAGUCCAGCAUGUGGCCCCCGUCUGUCAUCCCCGAACAUCUGUGUGGCCUACUUUGCUGCUAGAACUCACUAAAGUGGGUUAUGGAAAACGGCCAGACUCACUUCUUCGGAGCUCCACACUCUGUACACUGUAUACUAUGACUCCUCCCAACCCUCCCGACUCCAGACCAACUAUUUUCUGCUGGGAAAAUGGAUGCUUGAUAAGUCUUUGAAUAAAUGAAGGAAAUGUUCUGUUAUUGAA